CCACAACGUCGCACACACAUCGUCACAUUUGAUCUGGGUGCCCAAAACUGCUUACUUAAGGAGAUUUUGGGUUGAUCUAUGGGAUGCGUGGAGGCCUAAC
rnacentral:sRNA from 1 species